AUGGAGGAUUUCUCAACUAUAAUGACCACCAAUUUCGAGUCUGCUUACCAUCUGUCCCAACUUGCAUACCCCCUACUCAAAGCAUCAGGAAAUGGAAACAUCAUUUUUAUCUCCUCUGUCACGGGUGUUAUAGCUGUACCUCUAUGUUCCAUCUAUGCAUCGACUAAAGGUCCAGUUCAAUAUUUUCUUUCAAACUUUUUUUUUUUUCAUUUCUGUUGGAAAGCAACAGAACUAAAAUCUGGUUGCAAGAAAGUCUUUUAAAAGCUCAGUAACUUUUUGACUUCAGGAGCAAUGAAUCAACUGACAAAGAACUUGGCAUGUGAGUGGGGAAAGGACAACAUUCGCGUGAAUGCAGUUGCUCCAUGGAUCAUUAGAACCUCUCUCAUUGAUUCCAUAGAAGUACAACUUAUCCCUCCACACUUUUCUGUGAAUUGCUACAUUUAGUCUUCUUCAUUCCAUGUCAAAGACCUGCCUUGAAUGUUCUUACUGGAGAUAGUCAUAAGCCUUUAGCGUACAAUUAGUAUAAGAGAGCAGGUCACAAAAAUUCCUCAUCUUUAGUUCAGACAAUAAUUAUAUUGAAAGAUAAUUGCAGGAUUGAAAAUCCAAAAUAACCCAUUAUGUCAAAAUGGGUUGUGCAACAUUUUUUUCAUCUACGUCAGUGUAUUCACUUGCUUACAACUUCUGAGAAUGUAUGUAAAUCUAUUUGCAAUUGGAAGAAAUGGUGCUAAUAUUAAGUGUUAACUUUCUUUUCUUUCAGAAAGAUCCAAGGGUCCUCGAGCAUGCUAGUCGUUUGAUAGCCCGUACUCCUAUACCCCGUCCAGGAGAACCUAAUGAGGUUUCAUCAGUGGUAGCAUUCCUGUGCUUGCCAGCCGCAUCAUACAUAACCGGACAGGUUAUUUGUAUUGAUGGAGGAUACUCCGUGACCGGAUUUUAGCCCUACGGACAUGAAAUGAUCUUCUAAAUUUUCUGGCCGUUCUUCCAAAGUCAGUUCAGGGCUUCAUGAUAUGGAUGCCAUUCUAAUAAGCUCUCUGUUAACGCGAAAGUUUCUGGAUUGUAUUUUAGUUGUCUAUGCUGUCACCAUUGUCCUGCUUAUUUUGUAUCUUUUCAUCUAUGUUAAAUAAUAAAUUUCCAACUUAAAAGACCCCUUUGAGUCCCAUAGUUCAAAAAAUGAACUCUAGAAAUCAACUUCAUAAGUGCCUAUUAGCUACUCAAUGUGGAAUAAACACUAACUAAUAGAAAAUAUGAUGUCUGGCGUUCAGAUAAAAUUUUUUUCUUUUUCCUUUUGCAAAAGAGAUAAUAAUUUAUCUGGUUAUUUUGGCCAGAUAUCCAUCCAUCCCAGAGAACUUGAUAAGUAGUCGUGUACCACAAUUUAGAGCAAAUAAAUAAUGUACAGUGGAGGUAAGAUAUCUUUGAUUAUAAUUCAUUGGACAAUUUCAAAAUGUAAUUAGGACAUCAUAUUAAGUAGUUGAAAUUAAUACCUUUAAAAAUUUCUUCCCACGUACACUUAUAAUUUUCUUUUAAGUACGGAAAGUAAACAUUCUUUUUUAUUUCCAUUCUCCUUUUGUUUCCUACAAUUGCUCCGUUACAAAAUGGAAAUCACCAUAUAAGAUAUUCCAUGCAAUUAAAGCGUAACUAAUUUUGGCUUUGCUUCUUAUCAUCAACCAUUUAUGGUAAUAAACACUUACGUACUGAAUCCUUCCACGACUGGCACAACAGACAACCAAACAAUACCUGACAUGAUCUUUGGUUGACAUGUUGACGCCUUGCCGACACUUUUCUGAAUAAAGUUGUAACGCAUUUUGAAAGGUGGCUGUGUUUGUGUGGGUUGCAUUCUACUUUUUAACUCAUAUCUGAGGCUGUUGUCUCAGAAAUUUGAAAAUUGGCAAAGGUGAAGAUGGGAGAAGCAGAGAUCAAUAACGAAGGAAAUAGAUGGUCUCUCAAUGGAAUGACUGCCUUAGCGACUGGUGGAACUCGAGGCAUAGGGUUGGUAACCUCCAAAUUUUCUCAAGUUCUCAUCUCCUUUUAUCUAAUUCCAUCUUUUCGCAGAAUAAGUUUACACUGGUUGUUGAUCUACUUGUCUAAAUCCUAGUUUUUGUGUUUGGGUGUUAGGCAAGCAAUAGUAGAAGAACCGGCGGGACUUGGUGUUACACCCCAAAUUCACUCAUGAAAACAUAAGAGAAAUUUGUAAUAAAUCUCACAUCAUCAUACUUAUCACUACACAUUCUUUAAAUAAUAAGCAUAACAAUUAGCCCUCUAAAAAAAAUCUUUAAAUAAAAAAUGAACUAGAGUAAUCCCCAAGGUUCUAAACAAAACUUCUAUCUUCUAAGACCAAAAGCUACAUCCCUAAUCAGUUUGCAAAAUAUUAAAGAUGAGGGGUGAACUGUUAACUCGGUAAGUAAUAUAUUCACAAUAUUAAAAACUAUUAAUCAUAAACAAUUAAACAUUAUAAUAAUCAUUUUAUCAUUUGGCAUAACUGACAGAUUCAUUAUAAGCAUUUAAAUAAUCAAAUCUUUCUAAAAACAUGUAAACAUAAAACAUAGUUUUGAUUUAAGUGAAUAUUUUAUAUUAAAUAUUUCCAAAAGGUGAUUUUACAUUCCAAUUACAUAAUCCUUACAUCCUAAACAUCUUUUAUUACAUAGUAUGUAAUAUGCCAAUUCUCUUAAGGGUAUUUAAGUUUUUAAAAAAAUUUAGUGAUCUUUUUACCCUAGUAUAAAAAGAAUAAGAUGUCUUUCCCAUUAUGAGAGAGAGAGAGAGAAAGAGAGAUCGGCUAAGAUGAAAAAAAACCGACAGAGAGGAAAAAAAAAGAGAUAGAGAGAAAAGAGAGAAAAAAAAAAGAAGAAAAAAAGGGAAGAAGAAAAAUAAAGUCUUCUUCUUGGUUCUACCAUGAGCAACACAUGAGAUCAAGUUGCGUCGUUUGAAUUGGAUAUUGUUGAGACAAGAUUGGAGGUAAGUUUUAAUUCUUGGUUUUCAUUAAUUUGUUAUGGAGAAGAAUGAUUAUAUGUUUGCAACAGAAGUAGAAACCUAAGAUUUUUCCGAAAAUAUGCUGACAGUGUGUUAUUUCAAAAAUCAUAGUAAUUUGUAAAAAUUGAUUUUGAUUCUUGAUUUUGGACAUGUUAAACUAGACAUCUUCUAGAAUGUUUUGAAAGUUUUUCCAAGCUAAUCGGAUAAGAUUUCAAUUAAUUACGAUUUUUUUGAAGUCAAGUCUGAAAACCUGAAAAUUUCUGAUUUUAGUGAAGAACCUUGAUUAUAAAAUUAUUUUUACCAUACCUAGACUUAUGAUUUUAUGGUAAAACAAUAAUUUGUUUUGUAUUUGUAAAGUAAGCAUGUCCAGAACAAAAAACUAUUUAACAGAAUCAAUUAUGUCUGAAAUGUAAAUUAUUUUCAAUAGUUUUUAAGGGAAUUAAGCUAUGAAAUUUUUACCGAUGAAUUCCCAAUAUGUUAGCAUAUUGUUGCGGACUGCCAAAGUCACUAGUCCAAUUGCCCACAAUUUCGGGCUAGGGAGCCCAAGACAAGGCCAAGAAUGCUAGCUUGGCCCGAUUCCGGAAACUUCUAGGCAACUCUAGCACAUUUGAGGUUGUAAAUAAUCUAGAAUACUCCACACAUUUCUAGCUCAUGUAAAUAUCUAGAAUUCUAGGCAUGUGGUAGAAUUCUCUAGAUCUCUAAAGCUUGGCAAGCCUCCCCUAUAAAUAGGGUAUGGCAUUUAGUAUUUGAGCAACAAGCUUAGAGCAAGCAACUCAAACACUUGUAAGCUCUCUUGCAAUCUUUCAUUCGAGUAAUACAAUUCUCUUCAUUCGGCUCCAUUGCUCUCUUCUCUCUAGCUCUUUGAAAACCGCUAGGCUUAGCUAGGCCAAAGCUCAAGGCUUACUUAGCAACAUUCGGCAAAGGUUGUCUAAGUGCCGCGCGGGUUUGCUGCGCAAAACACUCAUCCCGUGAUAAGUGGUAUUAGAGCUAAGGUUUGCACCCAUGCAAGUUAGCCCACGAGCAAUGGCCAACCCUCCAAAUCCAGUGCAAGAGGGCGUUGUUGGUGUGGAUGUUCCGCCGGAACCAAGCCACGGCCGUGAGGGAGAGCACGCCCAAGGCAAGACUCGCGGCAAGUCCAAGGCCCCAUCCGUCGAUGCGUUGGAGCCUCAUGUAACCACUCUCGAAAUCGUACUGUCUCAAGAUAGCCUCGAGGGAUUGGAGGAAAUAGUCGACGGUUUCGAGGGAGAAUACGUCGAGUUCACGGUGGCAACAAAAGCCCUCAUCCAAGAGCAACCGAAUACUUUUCGAGGUGAGUUUCAAUCUUUCCAUGAUGAGUUGCUAAAACUUCAUAGCUUUGUUCAGGAUGAACUACUCGCUGUCCGUGCGAAAGUGGACAAAGUCCGCUCGGAUUGGGCAUGGCACAAGCGCACACUCUUCGCUAGUCCAGUUUCCACAAGCACGAGUGAUGCGCGACGCAUUGACGUACCAAAGCCCGACACCUACGAUGGCACACGCAACACCACAAUCGUGGACAACUUCCUAUUUGGGCUUGAUCAAUACUUCGAUGCCAUGGGUGUUUGAGACGAGGCAUCGAAAGUGGGCACAUCACCCACCUAUCUUUGAGGUGCUGUACAACUAUGGUGGCGUCGCAAGCAUGGCGAGAUGGGCAAAGGCAUUUGUACCAUCGACACUUGGGCUAACUUCAAGCAAGAACUCUGAAAACAGUUCACCCCAAGCAACGCGGAGAAGGAAGCGCGAGUGCGCCUACGUCGCCUUAAGCAAUCAGGUAGUAUUCGGGACUACAUCAACGAAUUCAUCACUCUCAUGUUGGAGAUAAGCUACAUGUUCGAUAAGGACUCACUCUUCUACUUCCAAGAUGGCCUUAAGGAUUAGGCCAAGACCGAGCUUAAUAGGCGGGGUGUUCAAACACUUGACGAUGCCAUCGCCAUUGCGGAGUCACUCACCGAAUACUCUACCCAAUCCAAAGAAAAAAGGCCAACUAAGGUAAAUGUGGGGGAGAGAGUCGCAAGGACAAGGGCAAUAACCGCAAAGAUUAGGGGUAGAAAAAGCCACUUAGGAACAAGAGCGGGCAAGGAAAAUCGGAAGGCAAAAGGAGGCACCGAAGCCACGAAGCCCAUUGCACUGAAGCAACGGGCCUCAUUGGGUACGCGAUUGUCCGGAGAGGAAGUCACUCAACGCUCUUGCUACCCAACUCAAGAGCAACCCCAUAAUGUCCACGGAGGAACCCCAGCUCAGCAUAAGUUCUCUCCAACACCUCGGUGCACUCAAUCGCCAACAGCCCAUACUCACCAAGAAAGGGAUCAUGUAUGUGGGCGCGAAGAUAAAUGGACAGUCUGUUCGCGCGCUACUAGACACGGGAGCGACACACAACUUCGUGUUUGUAGAUGAGGCAAAGCGCUUAGGCCUAAAGGCCACCAAGGAAGGAGGCACGAUAAAGGCAGUAAACUCACAUGCCAAGCCAAUUGCGGGAACUGCAUAAGGCGUACAAAUAACACUCGGUACGUGGAGCAGAAAGCUUGACUUCUCCAUCGUGCCCAUGGACGACUUCAAGAUGGUCCUCGGCAUGAAAUUCUUCAAUCAAGUCCAUACCUUCCCACUACCCGCUACCAACUCCCUAAGCAUCCUCGAUGAGAGCAAAGCAUGCAUGGUUCCCACAGAACGAGGCAAGUCUGAGGAGAAGACGCUCUUGGCCAUGCAAUUCACAAGAGCUUUCAAGAAGGACCCAAGUUUCUUGGUCUCCAUUCGAGAACUUAACAAGGAAGGAGAUUGCAAAAAAUCACCAAGCCAAGUCCCUCCGCGAAUACAAGCUGUCCUUAAUGAGUUCAAGGACGUGACACCCCCGAACUUCCGAAGAAGCUCCCACCUCGACGAGAGGUAGAUCCUGCGAUCAAGCUGGAACAAGGCGCGAAACCAACAGCUUUGGCGCCCUACCGCAUGGCGCCACCCGAACUUGAAGAGUUACGGAGACAACUCAAAGACUUGCUGGAUGCAAGCUAUAUUCGCCCCUCAAAGGCCUCAUUCGGUGCACCGGUCCUCUUGCAAAAGAAAAAUGAUGGAUCGCUGUAGAUGUGCAUCGAUUAUAGAGCGCUCAACAAGAUCACCCUCAAGAACAAGUAUCUGAUUCCCCUAAUCGCGGAUUUGUUAGACCAGCUUGGCAAAGCGCGGUACUUCACUAAACUCGACUUGUGCUCUAGAUACUAUCAAGUGCGCAUCGCCAAGGGGAGACGAACCGAAGACAACGUGCAUGACAAGGUACUGGUCUUUCGAAUUCCUUGUCAUGUCAUUUGGCCUCACUAAUGCACCCGCCACAUUUUGCACACUCAUGAACAAUGUUCCAACCAUUCCUCGACUGCUUUGUGGUUGUGUACUUGAACGACAUCGUGGUGUAUAGCACAAUGCUUGAGGAACAUGCCCAACAUUUCCAACAAGUCCUCCAAGUACUUCGAGACAACGAGCUCUUCCUCAAAAUGGAGAAGUGCUCGUUCGCUCAACAAGAAGUGGAGUUCCUUAGCCACAAGAUUGCGGGCGUACAGCUUAUGAUGGAAAAUGCCAAAGUGAAGACCAUCCUCGAAUGAGAGCCUCCCAUGAAAGUGCUCAAGCUUUGCUCAUUCCUUGGAUUGGUGAAUUACUACCAUCGCUUCAUCAAGGGCUACUCAGUCAAGGCGGCACCCUUGACAGAUUUGCUUAAGAAAAACAGAGCGUGGCAUUGGUCCGAAGAGUGUCAACGUGCAUUCGAGGAGCUAAAGAAGGUGAUUUCGGAGGAACCAGUCCUCACACUUUUGGACCACACAAAACCCCUCGAAGUUCAAACAAAUGCCUCUAAUUUCACCAUAGGUAGAGUCCUCAUGCAAGAAGGCCACCCUAUAACAUUUGAGAGUCGAAAGCUAAAUGAUACAGAAUGCCGCUAUACGGUGCAAGAGAAGGAAAUGACCGCAAUCGUACAUUGCUUGCGAGUGUGGUGACAUUACUUGCUUGGUUCACACUUCACAAUCAUAACGGAUAACGUAGCGACGAGCUACUUUCAAACACAAAAGAAGUUGAGCCCGAAGCAAGCAAGGUGACAAGAUUUUCUUGCGGAAUUCGACUAUCGGCUCAAGUACAAACCGGACAAAGCCAAUGUCGUUACGGACGCUCUAAGCCGCAAGGCCGAAUUGGCGACACUUACCAUGAGCCAACCGAAGUCCGACCUUGUCUCACGCAUCAAGGAAGGCCUUCAACAAGAUCUGGUAUCAAAAGACUUGCUGAAGAAGGUGCUCGAAGGAAAGACAAUGCGAUUUUGGCAAUAGGAAGACAUCCUCCUAACCAAGGGAGAUCGACUGUUCGUGCCAAUGUGGGGAAAUUUGUGGAAAGAAGUCAUCAAGGAAUGCCACGACUCCAAGUAGACUGGUCACCCAGGAAUUGAGCGCACCACCGCACUAGUUCAAGCCUCGUAUUUUUAGCCGCACAUGAUGGAUGACAAUGACAUCGAGGCAUAUGUGCGCACUUGUCUUGUGUGCGAACAAGACAAGGUGGAUUAUCAACUUCCAGUGGGAUUAUUGGAGCCACUACCACUCGUAACAAGGCCAUGAGAAAGUGUCUCCAUGGACUUCAUCACAUUGCUGCCCAAAUCCGAAGAGUGCGGCAGCAUCAUAGUCGUUGUCGACCGUUACAGUAAGUACGCCACAUUCAUUACCGCACUAGCCGAUUGCAAAGUGGACGAGGUAGCCCGCCUAUUCGUCAAGCACAUUGUGAAGCUUUGGGGAGUUCCGAAGAGCAUUGUGAGCGACCAAGACCCUUGGUUCACUAGACGUUUUUGGACGGAGCUUUUUAAUAUGUUAGGGACCAAUCUUAAGUUCUCAAUAAGCUUCCACCCACAAACGGAUGGGCAGACCGAGCGCAUCAAUGGCCUCUUCGAGAUGUACUUGAGGCACUAUGUGAGAGCUCAUCAGCGAGAUUGGGUAAAGCUACUCAACAUCGCCCAAUUUUCUUAUAACUUGCAGUGAAGUGAGGCUACAGGCAAGAGUCCGUUCGAAAUCGUCAUGGGGUUCCAGCCCAUGACCCCUAACGCCAUAGCCUCAACUUACGGAGAAAAAAGCCCUACGGUACACAAGCUCGCCUGCGAAUGGCGCGAGGAAGCGGACAUCACGCGAGCCUACCUCGACAAAGCCGCGAGGAAGAUGAAAAAGUAGGCGGAUACAAGGAGACGGUAUGUCGAGUACAAGGAAGGCGAUCAAGUCAUGAUCAAGCUCUUACCCCAACAAUUCAAGACGUUGCAGAAAGUCCACAAGGGGUUAGUGAGAUGCUACCAGGGACCCUUCCGAGUUGUACGACGUGUGGGCAACGUCUCGUAUUAACUUUAACUUUCGCCAAGACUCAAGAUCCAUCCGGUCUUCCAUGUGAGCCUUCUCAAGCGAUAUCACGAAGACGUGGGAGACCCAAGUCACGAAGAAUCGAGGCGUGCGCCAACCGCCGUUGUCACCGCAUUCGACAAAGAUGUGGACUACAUCAUUGCGGACCGCGUGGUUCGGAGAAGAGGCGUACCACCAUACAAUGAGUACUUGGUAAAGUGGAAAAACCACCCUGAGAGCGAAGCCACUUGGGAAUGUGAAGAUGAUUUGUGGCAAUUCGUUGAGCACAUCUAAAGCUUCAAGCACGAAAGCGUGACGAGGACGCUAAGAGCUUAGGUGGGUGAGGAUGUUACGGACCGCCAAAGUCACUAGCCCAAUUGCCCACAAUUUCGGGCUAGGGAGCCCAAGACAAGGCCAAGAGUGCUAGCUUGGCCCCGAUUCUGGAAACUUCUUGGCAACUCUAGCACAUUUGAGCUUGUAAAUAAUCUAGAAUACUCCACGCAUUUCUAACUCAUGUAAAUAUCUAGAAUUCUAGGCAUGUGGUAGAAUUCUCUAGAGUCUCUAGAGCUUGGCAAGCCUCCCCUAUAAAUAAGGCAUGACAUUUAACAUUUGAGCAACAAGCUUAGAGUAAGCAACUCAAACACUUGUAAGCUCUCUUGUAAUCUUUCAUUCGAGUAAUACAAUUCUCUUCAUUCGGCUCCAUUGCUCUCUUCUCUCUAGCUUUUUGAAAACCGCUAGGCUUAGCUAGGCGAGAAGCUCAAGACUUACUUAGCAACAUUCGGCAAAGGUUGUCUAAGUGCCGCACGGGUUUGCUGUGCAAAACACUCAUCCCGUGAUAAUAUGCUCUGUAAAAUUUGAGAUUUUUCUAAUAAGGUAAUAAUUUAUUAAAAAUCCGAGAACAUGGACUGUUUUGUUUUGAAGACCGAAUACUGAAGGCAUUUGAGGUUGAGUUUAUGAGCUGUUUAAAAUGAGAUAUUUGAGGACAUUAGAGUUUAUGAUUGAGACUUGAUUAUAUCUUAUGAGAAUUUUGUUAUGAUUUUUAGGUCAAUGAUAUCAGUACGCAUUUGUUACAUGAGGGUGCCAAGAGGUAAGUAAACUAGAUUUCUAAAUGAAUCACAAUAAACAAUAUGUAUAUGUUUGACAUGUUUGAAAAGUCUAUUUUGAUAUAUAUACGGAUAUGGAUUUAUAUGUUCUGCCCAUGUGUUUAUAUGAUGUGUUGAUAUAAUGUGUUGUUAUGUGUUGUGCGUUUAUGGACAUGGACAUAUGUAUGUGUAAAAUUUCAUUGGCAUAAACAUGAAAAUGCAUUAAGGUUUCUACGAAUGAGAAAGUGGAAUUUAACAAAUGAAAUGUUUGCUUUAUGAGAUUUUGUAUUGGGGGCUGUUGUAGGUGUUCUAUUGUUAUUGGUGUCAAUGUGCAAGUAUACACAAUAAGUAAUAUAAUGAUAAGUAUUCAAGAUCGUCUCCCCAGGAAUUGUUGUUAUAAGAAUUGCUACAAUAAUUUUAUCAGUGUAAUUUUUAUUCUAAAUUAGAAUUAAAAUAAAUUAUUAAACUAAUGAACUAAUUAAGAUAAAAAAAAUGUAAUAAAGUAAAUUAUCGCAACAAAUAUAAGGAUGUAACCAAGAGGAAUAGAAUAGUUGAGUGAUUAAACUCACUUAAUGGUUUCGACUUUUUUUUUAAUAUUUGGCUCGGUUACUACAGCACUGGGUAGAAUCCUUAUGUAUCCUCAGUUGUCGCCUGUUGGAUGUCUUAUACCUAAAUAUAACUUAACAAUGACUAAUUGUUAUGCUAAUAUCAUAUAUAGCAUUACACGUUUUGAAAUAUAAGUGUACAACCCAAAAGGGGGGUGAAUUGGAAAUUUAAAAAUUAUCCUAACAAAUCCACACAACAAGCAAUUUAAUGUCUUAAUAAAAAUUGAAAGCAAUAAGUUCAAUAAAAGCACAAUAACAAAUUAGUAAGGGAGAAGAGAAACAAACACACAAAUUUUUACGUGGUUCGGCAAUCUCCGCCUACGUCCACGCCUCCAAGCGAUCCAAGCUUGAAGAUUUCAUUAUCCGAGCCUUUCCAAUGCUUCAACUGUUUACAAUUGAUUUCAAGGUGUCAAUGAACCUUUACAACAAAGAGAUUAUCUCUCAAUCUCUUCACUCAAGUGUCUCACACACUCAAACUCUUACAAUUAAGAUGAAGAAAUGAAUGUUACAAUAAAACUCACUCAAAGUGUAGAUAUUCAAAAAUGAAGAACAAGAAAUGAUUCAAUGUUUUGUGAUUUGUUGAAAGCUCAAGAUAUUUUGUGUGCUUUUUGUUUAUGCUUGGUGCAGAGCUUGAAAAUGAGUUGGAUUUGAGUUUAUAUAGUUUAAGCUAAAAAACUAGCCGUUAUGCACAUUUUGGUCGUAACCGGUUUGCCGUUUAGGAAUCCGGUAAGCCGCUUUUAUGUUACCGUUAAGGCAAAAAUUUGAAUUUCAGAAUAUCCGGCUAGCCGCUUUUCAUAUAUGGUAAGCCGCUUUUGAAAUCUGGAUUGCGGCUUGCAAAAUUCGGUAAGCCGUUUAUGCUCCAGAAGCUUACUGCCCAAAAUCCGGCUUGUCGUUUACCAUAUCCGGUAAGCCUCUUGCUACAGUGACUGCUACAGUGAAAUAUUUUUUAAAUUUAUAGUUUGACCUCAAAACUUUAUAAAACUGUAGUAUGGUCCAAAAUGUUAUGAAAACUUUCAAAUAAGUCCAAUUUCAAAAUUUCUAAAUAAUGCUUUGUCAAUCCCAAAACUUUCUGAAAUUAUGAUUUCACCCAAAUUAUGUGAAAUUAUAGAAUGACCCAAAAUAUUUAAAUAGUUUCAAAUAGGUCCAAAUCCGUAAUUUUAAAACAAUAUCAAAGGUUUUAAAAUACUUUCAUGUUAGUCCAAAAUACUUUAAUUCCAUAACAUCAUUUUCUUAAAAAGCACAAUUCAUAAAUCUUUGUUUAAUCAAUAUCUAUAGCUAUAUAGGCUAACAUGCACUACUAGAAAAAUGGGCUACCAUGACAGAGAAUAUAUGUCAUCCGACCCCACUUAUGACAGAGUUUUCAUCUGUCAUUGUAGCCCCUCUCACAAAUCUGUGACAACGUUUUAUCUAUCAUGUUCCUAUGACAGUGUUUAUCCAUCACACAUAUGUCAUGAACCAAGUGAUGUUCGAUUUGCAAAGCUUUCAGGAAUUAAUUGAAAAUUUUAGCAGGUAAUUUAAAUUAUUUUGAAUUUGGCGGGUUUCUUCAAAACUGCAUAUAUUAAUGAUUCACAUUCUCUGUCAAGAGAUUUAAGGUUUAAAAAAAUAAAAUUAUUAUUUUCAAUUUUGAAAUUAUAUUAAUACUAAUUAGCAUUAUUUAAAUUACAGAAUUUUGAAAUAGAAAUAGAAAAAGUCACAUUUUAAAACUUGAAUGAACAAAAAUAAAAUUACAUUCAAAUUCAUAAAACUAUCUAAUAUCAAAUAGCACUAUACACUAAAAAUUCCAAUCACUUGAAACUUCCAAUAAAUAGCAUCAUCAAAAUACAUCGUCUAUCAUAUCUCAUAAAUCCUUUACAAUAGCCAAUCAUCAACCUAUCACUAGAAAAACAAUUAAUCCAUAAAAAAAAUUGAUAUUAAAUUCCGGAAAGCCACCAACAUCACCUGAAAAAUAGAUUAACCAAAAAAAUACAGAUUAACAUGUUGACCACAUACAAUUAAUCAAAUUCACAAUAAAGUUCACCAGUGUGUAAUUGAUUUAAUCAGCUUUGAUACCAAAGGGAAAAUGAGGAUAAAUAGCCCCAGAGGAAAAAAAAAUCACAUUUGACAAUUGACAUAAUGAAGCAGUAAACCUCAUGAGUUGUAAAAGAGAAAUAGGAAAGGGAAAAUAAGGGACAUCUUCAAUGCAUGUAGUUUAUAUUAACUUUUUUUUUGUUCCUAAAGAUAUAUUUAGUCUAGCCUUCUAUAGAUUUCAAUUCUGAAUUUCUUUAUGCACCAAACUGAGUAUAUUUCAAAGACUACAAAUUAAUUAAUGCAAAACAUCUAAAAACAUAACAACUUUCCAUACAUAAUUAAACAAAAUUCACCAAAAUCAAGCUAAUAAAAAGAAAGGUAAAAGUUCUAAAAAUCCAAAAGAGGAUAUCAGAAAAUUCUGGAAUCAUCAGAAUCUCCCCAUUCUAUCAACCUUAAUGCCAUGCUUGUAGGCUUGUAAACACUAACCCUAUCCAACUCAAAGAAAGAAAACGCGGGCUAGUAUUCUCAUCUGGAUUACAUCACAUUAGCAUUUGAGAUAUUUUUACUUUAAUGUUUCAAAGAGAAGAAUUUUUGUUAAAGCAAGAUUUUCAACAAAUAUGUUUAAAGGAAUGCUCAUUGUCCAAGGAUUUAAAAGGAUACCGAGUAUAAGUUUGUUUACAAUAUAUUUUUUAUUUUUCUUUUUUCUUGUUAAACUACGAUAAACUGAAAAAUACAAGUAUAUCUUGAUUUUAAAAAUCAACCAAGACAAGAAAAUAGAAUGAACAACUAUUCUUAUAGGAAACCAAUGGAAAACCUCUAAAUGUAGUCAUUGGUUUAUUAAGGAUAGUUGGAACCAUAAACAGUGGAUAAGUUUCUAAUGAAAAUAAUAAAAUCCAUCAUCUAUAUAAAUUGAGAAAAAAUAAAUUUCAUGUCAAAGAUCUAAAAAAUUUGAAGGAAACCUAAUAGUAAGCAAAUAUUCAAUUCAUAAUAGUAUGAAUAAUAAAAACAUUAUUGUCAACUUGAAACGUAAAGUUGCUUUGUGUUUUUGUCAGCCAGUCCUAUUGUUUUUAGCAAAACAACAAACCUUAGCAUUUUAAUUGGUAACAAAUCAGAACCAACAUAAAAAUAAAAUUAGAAAAGAUAUAGAGAUGUAUUCUACCAUUGUGCAAUGCUGGUAUCGUCACCGUCUAUUCAAUAAAGAUCAAUGGCCCCCUUAGACAGGACAUAACUCGAGUGAUAGGAAAAAGAAAAUUAAAUAGUUGUCAUGAGCUAUCUUAAACUUAUGCAAUUAAAUAUUUCAAAGAUGAUGCUAAAACAAACCAAUGUAAAAACAUUAUUACCUUGAACCAUUAUCACCAAAGCAGUGAAGUCAAACCACAGUGGCUUGCUGUCUACCUUUGCCUGACUACAUAGGUCCUUCCGAACUGAUCUAGUGUUUUUCUAACAGUUUUAACCCCUGAAAAAAAGUCAUCACAAUUCAAUAAUCAAGAUUAAUGAUGAAGAAUUUUACAUACGUAACAAAAACCCAUAAUUACUAACAAAAGAAUUUCAUAAUGAAAGUUUUUUUAAUAAACCUCAACAAAGCUUUGUCAAGAGAAAACAUAAAUUACAAAAAUGAUAGAGUAUAAAAUAAAUAGGGGAGAAUAGAACAGCUAAGCCCCUUUACAGCAAGUAUUGAAAUGAACUAAAUAACAAUGGCACAUGUUAACUAAAACGGUAAUAGAGGUUCUUUAAUUUUUUUCUUUUUUGAAGAAAGCCAUGAGUCUCUAGAGGGUCAGUAGUUCUUAGAGAAGAGCCCAAGUUUUCCAAAGUUACUGUACUAAAUACACAACAGGCUGAAUCAAAUUUUAUUGGAAGAAUUAUUGUACAAAACCAUUGCAAUUAACCCCAAAUUACAACCAACCAAGCCCUAGUAAUUUAAUUGAGAGUUAAUAUAUGAAAAAUGCAAAAUUCAACACUAUCACCUCGGCCGAUACCUAACCUGCAGGGAGGGAAAUAGAAGACCAUUUAUACCAAAAAGAUCGCUUCGCUUUGAACAGUGACAAUGAGGUUGGGGAAUCAAAUUCAAGGUCACGUGGCUGUAGCCCUCCUGACUUGCUGCAAAAUGUGCAAUUUGAGUUUCGACUCUAGUCCCGACCCCAUUGCAAUGUCCGCUAACUCAACCUUUCCUCUGAAAUGUUUAUUUUUAGGGUAUUAUUACUCAAUAUAUGAAAAAUCCAAUUGAGGAACAAAAGAAUAGAGAAGAACGAAAUUUAUUUACCUUCAUCAACCGUAGCGAUAGUAAGGGUUUCUUAAAAAAUGAUCGGUGAGUUUGAAGGAUUACUCAAUAGCAAAGGAUUUAGGGUUUGGAGGAGAACAACAACUUCUACAUGGCAAAUAACAACAAUUUCGAAGGAUUAAGGGUGUAUUUUCGUCUUCUUUAUUAGUGAGGGAAGAGCCUCAAAUUUUGACUUAGGGUUUUAAUUUUGGAUUUCUCACUUGCAGCGAGGAAUCUGAUCUCUUAAAGUUGUACAACACUUGGAAAUUAUUUUAGUUAAGUGUCUAGCUCAUAAACGACGUAGUUUCCUCUUUGUAAAUUCUAUUUUGAUUUUAGUUUAAUUAAAAGCUUUCAAUUGUUGCAAUAAAUUAAUGAAUUGACGUCAUUCUUUUUUGUUGAAACGACGUCACUUUUGUGAACUACUUAAUAAUAAAUUAAAAAUAAAUCGAAAAUGAAUAAAAUAUAUUAUUUUUUUAUUAUAGCUUGUGAUAGAAAUUUAGUUUGUCACAUAAGUAUCAUGUAGUUGUGAUACAUAAAAACUUUGUCAAAUGUCUAUCAUACAUUCUUGAUAAAUAACUAAUUUUCUAUUAUCUAUCACAAAAAAUCUGUCAUAGUAAGUCAUUUUUCUAGUAGUGACGUUUUAGAUUCUAAUUACCCUACAAGGUGAAUCCCUAUAUCUAGUUUAUUACUAAUUUUAUAUUAAAUAUGACUCUUUUCAAAUCAAGUUAAACACAACUCAGGAAAUCCAAUCUAAAACCAAGUACUGUUCUGAUAUGUUCCACUAAGACAUGCAUUUUUUAGGCUCUUUCUUACCUAAUUUCACUAAAUAAAUGGUCAGUCGAAAUAGUGAAUCGAAAUAAGUAUUAUCCAAACGACAUGCUAUAGUUUGUCAAUUAACCAUCAAGUUGUUCAUCACUCAAUCGCGAGUAAAUUUAGUUCAUAAUCUGCCAUAAAACAAGAAUCAAAAUAGUUUUAGCUAUUAAACAAUCCAUCAUAAUGAGAUAAAAACAAGAGAACAAGAAAUAAGAGUUAAUAUCCGCUUGAUGUUCUGCUAGAAUCUUUUGUUGCCAUCCUCAAUUCUCUCUCUUGAUCUUUGUUUUCUCUUGUUUUGUUUCUCUAUUCUUUUUCUCUAAUGACGGCCUCUUUUUUUUUUUUGCCUGUAUGCUCUUUUUAUAACUUAGAAUUGGGACAACCAAAAGCCUAAGUCGUACAUCUUCUAAUUUAGGAAACUCCAAAUCACAAUCUUUUAAGUAUCUCGUGUGAAAUCUUCUCUGUCGUUGCUCCAAGAUUAUUACAACAACAGUGCUACAACAUUGGCUUCAACAUCUGCACUGUUUCAAACUUGUUCCAAUUCUUCUAUAAUCAUGUUCUUUCCUUAUCCUUACAAGCCUACUGCAGCAACAUUCCUUAAAUCUUGAGCUUUCGGUCACCUUCAAUUAUGCAUAUGAACUAAGCACACAAAUUAUUCAAAAUCAAACGAAAUUUAUUGAGAGUAAAUUAAAAUGGAUGCUCAUGAAAUAUAUAACUAUAAAGUUGCUAAUAACGAUAAGCAAACUAGAAGCAAGUUGCUCAAUUCGGUAAGCAAACUCACGCAUAAAGUUGCUAAUAACGAUAAAAUACAUAAUCAUUAUGAAUUACCAUAAAUUAGAAACAAGUAAUCAUUUCAUAAUCUAAUAUAUAUUAAUGGUAAAACUCAUAAUCUGGUCACUUAUAACGUAAUAAUCAUUUUUAAUAAAUAGUUGUUUAAGAAAUCAUUUAUCAAUAACGCCUUUCUUUCGCUCAAUUUGCUCAUGCCACAUAGUGUCACCUAUAAUCUUGGUGACUCGGCCAGUAGUUUAGUAUGUCACUUGCAAUUUGGGUGACCUAUCUAGUAGUUCAAUCAGGGCACUUUAUCCUGCAAUAAUCAUUGAUAGGUGCGCACAAUACAGCUAGUUGUUCAGUUAUAUUAAUAUCAAUAGUUAUGGACAAUGAGCCAAAACCAUAAAUACAAUUUUAAAUCUUUCAAUAUCAAUCAUUCGAUACUCUAUCAAUAAAACACUCUUGUCAGACAAUUAAAUUGGGAAAGCUUUAAAAAUAUUUUUUAAGGAAAACAAUUUAUGGAAAGACAAGUAUUUUAAAGUGAUUUUGAAAACAAAUUUUAAGAAAACAUUUUAAACAAGUUUUUAACCAAAAUAGAACUUAUUAUCAUAAACUAUAAUGGUAAAAUUACUUCAAAAGCAUAAAAUGCCAAUCUAUAUCAAAUCGUUUCACAUAUCUUUACAUAUAUACAUGUAAUAAACAUUAUGCAUGAAUUCACCUACUUUGAUCCAAAUCAAUCAACAAUAACCCCAAUCAUUCGAGCACACUCUUGGCCUACAAUUAUUAAGACAUAUUUUUAUCAAUAUCUUAUUCAAUUUUGACCUUGAAAAGAAACCUAGAAAUCUUAAACUAUUAGCUCUUACUUAAGUACAUCAAUUCACUAAAUUACACUCAACCAUCUUACAGGAUUUGAUUUCUAACAAGCUAUAAAUAUGUCAAAAAAAAUAAAAAAAUAUCACAAAAAACUAACGUGAACAUGAUAGCAUUCAAUAUAAAAAUUUAAAAAAUUAAUUAAUUAGAGUUCUCUGAACAUCUCCAAAAAUUGAUUUUCCAUAAAAAUAUCAAAAUUGUCCAGUAACGAUAUAAAUAGAGGACUGCUAAUUUAAAAAUUCAUAAAUUUAGUUAUAUAUGCUCAAAAAUAGUGAUUCAAGCUUUGUCAAAUAGAAGAGACAAUAAGGAAUCAGAAUUAAAAUUUAUAAGGCAUUUUACUAAUGAAAAAGUAACCCAAGUUGACUUCCAUUUCAACCCUCGCAAUUCUAGAAAAUAGUUUCUAGGACGACUGUGCUGAAUCUAUGAUUUUUAAUGAUUUUUAUAUAAAAUUAAAAAUUAAUAAUUUUAAUAUACAGAAACUAGACACUAUGUGUACAAUAAUGAAAAUUCUCAGAAUUUUCAGAAGUCGUUUGGGCUAUGAAAUAAAUUAUAGAAAUGAGAAUUACUGCUGAAAAUCAAAAUUUUCUUGCACUAGUGUUCCAAAUUCGAAAAAUCAUUACAAUUAAUAUACAAUGAGUUUUUGAACGAUAAACAUAUGAAUAGAAAGCUAAAGAUGUCUAGUUUAAAAAUCUACAAAGUUUCUAUGUAUGAGACUUAAGGAAAAUAGCAGUUGUAUGACAUUCACUCUAUAUUGUUCAUAGUUUUUUGAUAACACAAUAACAUCAUUUCCAAUCAAUUACAAAAUAAACCAAUACAUGAUCAUGCUUUCACAAAUUUUAUCAAUAUAAAACACAUAAAGUCAUUUAAUCAAUCACAUAAAAUCACAAAUAAAACUAGAAUUUUAAAGGAUUAUAAAUUCGUACCCACUUUAAAAAAAAUUAAAACUCAAGAACUUCUUUAAUGGAAAACGGAAACACAAUCAAAAUCUUCCCCUCUUCUUAUUCAAAAAAGUGAUUUUACUCUUAUGUUUGCUAUUUUAGUCCUUUCUUUAUUAGCCUCUAGGGUUUUGAGAAACGAAAUAACAUAAGAGCAGUCUUUUAUAAGUCUUUUAAUACCCUUACCCAUUAAGGAAUUUAUUUCCUUUUUUAAUAUGGUAUUUAAUAAACAUAAAACAACAAAAACAAUUAAGUAAUUUUAAAAUUUAAAACACUCAUCAUUGACCUAAAAUACUAUAUUCUAUAAAAUAUAUAUAUAACGAUAAUAAUAAAAACAAAAACAACGUGUGUUAUAGUUUCUCCCCUUCUAAAGAGAAAUUUCGUCCUCAAAAUUUAGAACGUCGCCUUAUUCCUCAAAAACUGAGGGUACUUCUCCUUAUUCUCUGCCUCUCAUUCCCAAGAUAGAAUAAUUUGCUAGCGCACUUUCACUAAAGGUACAACUCUUCUCCUUAAAACUUGUUCCUUUGUAUCUAAGAUGUCUAUUGGUUGCUCCUUGUAUGAUAUAUCAUUUGAGAUAUUGAUAGGUUGGUAAUUUAAGGUAUGAGAAGAAUCAGCCAUGUACUUCCUCAAUACCGACACAUGAAAUACAUUGUGAAGCCUUGAAAGGCUCAGUGGUGAAGCCACUCGAUACGCCGCCAUGCCAAUUCUCUCUAGAAUCUUAAAAGACCUAAUAAACCUAGGCCUAAGUUUACCUUUCUUCCUGAAACAGAAAAGUCCUUUUUAAGGUGAGACUUUCAAGAAUACAUAAUCCCCAACUUACUCUAGAUUACGUCUAUUUCAAUCAGCAUAAUUCUUCUACCUACUUUGAACUGUGGGGAGACGCUCUCUUAUCAACUUAAUUUUGUCAACAGUAAUCUGAACUAAUUUUGGCCCUAAUAGUUUCCUCUUGUCAACUUCAUCCUAACAAAUAAGCUACUUGCACUUCCCCCCAUAUAAAGUUUCAAAAGGCGCCAUGCCUAUGUUAGAGUGAAAGCUGUUAUUAUAGGCAAACUCCACUAAUGGAAAAUAUUCUUUCCAAUUACCUUCUAAAUUCAAUUCACAAGCUCGUAACAUGUCCUCAAGAGUUUGGAUAGUCCUUUCUGAUUGUCCAUUGGUCUGAAAAUGAAAGGCAGUGCUGAACCUCAACUUCAUCCUAAAUUCUUUUUGUGAACCACACGAAAAUUUAGAGGUGAAUCGUGGAUCUCUAUUUGAGACAAUGGACUUGACAUCUAUGCAAUCUCACUAUCUCAUCUAUAAAAUAUUGCUUCAGCUUCCAAAACUUGUCAGUACUCUUUAUUGAUAAGAAAUGUGCUGACUUGGUCAAUUCAUAUAUAACACGUGUCCCGUCCUAGCUCGGCCCAUCAAAGGAAGGCUCAUACGUGCUCGUGCUCGUGCUGUGCCAAAAGUUUUUUGCUUAGACCCAGCUUGGCACACGUGUCGAUACACCUUUUUUUUUAAAGAGUGCAUGCCAAGUUGUUUGCAUAUUUUUUCAAGCUUUAGUACUUUUUUUGGUCCAUGCACUUUUAUUCAAAUUUGAUAAAAUCAAAAAUUCAAAAUUCAAGUCUAUAUUUAAUAUUAAUAAACUAAUCAUAGUAAGAGAAUGUAGUAUUAAUUAUUAAGUUUAACCAUAUGGUAUUGGAAUUCGUUUUUAGUACUUAACAACAACAACAAUAAUAAAUUUUUCUCAAGAGUUAACUUAAUUGUUAAUUCGGACUUACAUAGAGUCAUAAAUUAUAGUUCAUAAUAAUAUUAAUACAUAUUUAUAAAUCAUAAUAUUUAUAAUUUAUUUAUUAAAAUCACGGUAUCAAUUAUUUAUUUAAUAAAUUAUAAACAUAAAUCAAUUAUAGUAUUUUUUUAAUUAAAAAUUAAACGAAUUUAGAAAAAUUGCACUAAUAAAAUAUAUUAAAACAUUCAAUUUCAAUUUAUUUGUAAAAUCAUAAAAUUUUAAGUUUAUUUUCAUUAAAAAAAUGAAACGUGCUUAUUGCUGCGGGUUUUUUCCCGUGUCGUGUUUUAGUCCAUAUCUAAUAGUGUCGUGCUUUUAAGACCCGCAUGCCUAAAAUUCUAAAUCCGAUCCAAUCUACGUGCAUGUCGUACCGUGCUGCAUUCUCCACCAAAACAUACUAAUACCGUACUAUAUGGACACAUACCGUACUAAUUCUAAACCACGUGAUGUCCGGCCCAUUGGCCAUCUCUAUUGGCCAUCAACCAGUUACGUUUAGGAUGCUGGGCACAUGCGAAAGAGAAUUUGGGAGUUAGGUUUUCAAAAUAUGGAGUCCAGCGAAAUUAGUACGUUAAAUGGCCAUUUACUGUCACGUGGUUAGUAACAGAUAUGACAGCGGUCCACUGUCACGUGGUUAGUAACAGAUGUGUCAUAAAUUGUCACAAAAGCCACACUGGCAGUUACGACAAAUUUAUGGUAUAUGUACAGCUGCUUUUAUUGUUACAUUAGGGGUCACGUAUACCCUAUUUUCUUGUAGUGAGUAUCCGUGCAACCUUGAUUGUGUGGCUGUUAAUAACAGUGAACCAAUAUCCAAGAUUGAUCCAUUUGGGUACACUCAAAGAAACCACUACUAUAAGUUUUCACACUACUCAUCACUAUUCUCUUCAAAGAGCACAACACCCACUCUAUUUGCAAAAAUAUUAAGAUUCUCCUAUUAAAUACAACAAAUUGCUAUUGUUCUCAUAAGAGAAGAUUAAUUGCAGUUUCUGCUACCCGGAAAAACAUGUCAGAAUCCAGAGAACAAAGGUGGUCUCUAAAGGGUAUGACCGCGCUUGUUACAGGUGGAACCAGAGGCAUCGGGUUUGUGCUUCCACUACUUUGGCUUUCCUAUCUAUUGAUAUUUUUAAUGAUAAUAUCUUAGACUUUGCGUUUAUAAUUGAUUUAUCAGACAUGCAAUUGUAGAAGAACUAACGGCAUUUGGAGCAAUAGUGCAUACAUGUUCACGUAAUGAAACAGAGCUCAAUGAAAGAAUUCAAGAAUGGAAGAGUAAGGGGCUUAAAGUAAGCGGCUCGGCAUGUGACCUGAAAAUUAGAGCUGAGCGUCAAAAGUUGAUGGAGGCUGUAUGUUCUGAAUUUGAUGGCAAGCUCAACAUCCUUGUAAGUUCUUCUGCCAAAGUACCAUUUAAGCUUCUCAUACCUGAGAAGCUCAAAAUCCAACCAGAAAAUAGUGUCCCUAGAUAAUAACUGAAGGCUAAAUGACAGACUAGGUUGGUGGGGAUAUAUCUGGUAGCAAUAUAUGUGAGCUAUGUAUUGAGGUAACAUGAGGUUCAAUUCAUUGCUGAAACAUAUUCAUAGACAAAAUUAUCUGUCAGCGAUCAUGAAUUGUCCAGAGUAAUUAGGAGUACAGUAAUUUAAAUUGAGUACUUAAGCAAAAAUGAUCAUAUAAUGGGAAUAUAAGGAUAUUAUUGCAAAAUAAAAUGGCAGAAAGAAAACAAAAAUUAGGAUAAAAACCAGUUAGUUAGAUAGUUUUGAUAGAGAAUCAAAUAAAGUUGACUUCUGUAGUUGGGCAGGGGACUAUCAGAUAGUUUUGGAGGUAAAAUCAUUCUUAAAAACGGCAAUGCAACAGAUUGCUUCGCUUUCUAAUUCUCUUGGCUUCUUUUCACAAUAACAAUGCAACUUUUUGGUCUCUUUUGCUACUCAAAACUCCAGAACAUUUCAAUGCAUCAUUUUAUCAGGUAAACAAUGCUGGAACCACCAUUCCUAAGGAAGCCACAGAAUUUACCAUGGAGGAUUUCUCAACUAUAAUGACCACCAAUUUCGAGUCUGCUUACCAUCUGUCCCAACUUGCAUACCCCCUACUCAAAGCCUCAGGAAAUGGAAACAUCAUUUUUAUCUCCUCUGUCACGGGUGUUAUAGCUGUACCUCUAAGUUCCAUCUAUGCAUCGACUAAAGGUCCAGUUCAAUAUUUUCUUUUAUUUUUUUUUCAUUUCUGUUGGAAAGCAACAGAACUAAAAUCUGGUUGCAAGACAAUCUUUUAAAAGCUCAGUAACUUUUUGACUCCAG
rnacentral:lncRNA from 1 species